rnacentral:pre_miRNA from 1 species
AUUAAGUUUAUUUGUCAGUUUUUACCUAUAAUAUUUUGACUCUUCGUCUUAUUUCAUUCUUUUUUGAUUAAUAUUUUUAUUGUUACUAGAUGUUAAAACAUAAAUAAUACUUUAUGCGUAACUAUAUUUUAAUUUUUUAUAUAAAUUUUUUAAAUAAAACGAAUGGUCAAACGUUAAAGCAUGUAAAUUAAAAAAUAAAGUUAUU